AUCUAGCUGAGGAAUCCCAGAUAGGAUGAAACACUGGUCCUGGAC
rfam:Schistosoma margrebowiei strain Zambia genome assembly, scaffold: SMRZ_scaffold0000580